rnacentral:rRNA from 1 species
ACGGGUGAGUAACGCGUGGGAAUCUACCCAUCCCUACGGAAUAACGCAUGGAAACGUGUGCUAAUACCGUAUACGCCCUACGGGGGAAAGAUUUAUCGGGGAUGGAUGAGCCCGCGUUGGAUUAGCUAGUUGGUGGGGUAAAGGCCUACCAAGGCGACGAUCCAUAGCUGGUCUGAGAGGAUGAUCAGCCACAUUGGGACUGAGACACGGCCCAAACUCCUACGGGAGGCAGCAGUGGGGAAUAUUGGACAAUGGGCGCAAGCCUGAUCCAGCCAUGCCGCGUGAGUGAUGAAGGCCUUAGGGUUGUAAAGCUCUUUCACCGGAGAAGAUAAUGACGGUAUCCGGAGAAGAAGCCCCGGCUAACUUCGUGCCAGCAGCCGCGGUAAUACGAAGGGGGCUAGCGUUGUUCGGAAUUACUGGGCGUAAAGCGCACGUAGGCGGACUUUUAAGUCAGGGGUGAAAUCCCGGGGCUCAACCUCGGAACUGCCUUUGAUACUGGAAGUCUGGAGUAUGGAAGAGGUGAGUGGAAUUCCGAGUGUAGAGGUGAAAUUCGUAGA